ACGAACGCUUGCGGCGUGCUUAACACCUGCAAGUCGAACGGAAAGGCCCUGCUUUUGUUGGGUGCUCGAGUGGCGAACGGGUGAGUAACACGUGAGUAACCUGCCCUUGACUUUGGGAUAACUUCAGGAAACUGGGGCUAAUACCGGAUAGGAGCUCCUGCUGCAUGGUGGGGGUUGGAAAGUUUCGGCGGUUGGGGAUGGACUCGCGGCUUAUCAGCUUGUUGGUGGGGUAGUGGCUUACCAAGGCUUUGACGGGUAGCCGGCCUGAGAGGGUGACCGGCCACAUUGGGACUGAGAUACGGCCCAGACUCCUACGGGAGGCAGCAGUGGGGAAUAUUGCACAAUGGGCGGAAGCCUGAUGCAGCAACGCCGCGUGCGGGAUGACGGCCUUCGGGUUGUAAACCGCUUUCGCCUGUGACGAAGCGUGAGUGACGGUAAUGGGUAAAGAAGCACCGGCUAACUACGUG
rnacentral:rRNA from 1 species